rnacentral:lncRNA from 1 species
CCCUCGGGAAGGAGCUGUAGCCUCCUUCACGGUUCUCCACUGGGCAGUUACAAGCUCCUCUAGGGCAGAGAUGAGGGCUCCCUCAUCCGUCCUCAUGGUCCACACUAAGAGCUCAGCACAAAGGACCGGCAUGCCAAACAUAGGUUGUGACCGUAGGAGGUGAGCCGGAACACCUCCCGGGGAAGUGCAGAGAUUCAGAAGCACAGCUGAGGACACGGGAAAGGAUGAAGUCAGUGAUCUAAAAAGAUGUCUGCGUCCUCCUGGCAUCUGUGGCCCUCUUGACUUUACCGUCUCGGAUGGCGCUGAGCAGCAGCUGAACAGCCCAGAAUCCCUCCCUCGGGGACACUGUCUGGAAACCGCCAGUUCAACCGUGUGCCGUUUUGGGGACUCACAAGAGAAUCAUCGACCACGACCAGGAGUAGACUGUGAGAAAGCCAAAGCUCACAUUGUAGUGCCC